UACGUAGGGUGCAAGCGUUAAUCGGAAUUACUGGGCGUAAAGCGUGCGCAGGCGGUUGUGCAAGACAGAUGUGAAAUCCCCGGGCUUAACCUGGGAAUUGCAUUUGUGACUGCACGGCUAGAGUGUGUCAGAGGGGGGUAGAAUUCCACGUGUAGCAGUGAAAUGCGUAGAUAUGUGGAGGAAUACCGAUGGCGAAGGCAGCCCCCUGGGUCAAGAUUGACGCUCAUGCACGAAAGCGUGGGGAGCAAACAGG
rnacentral:rRNA from 1 species